UCAGAAGAUGAGAAGGUGAACGGGAAGCUGGACUCUUUGUUUGUUCAGGGGGCGAGCUGAUUCAGUGCAUAAUGCAAACUGCUAAAACAAGGUAGUAACUGCUUUUAUGGUUUUGGUUAGUAUUUUUUAAGUAUAAUGUUAUGAUCCUUGUUUGUUUGCAGCAUUUUGAUUCGUCAUGAGCGGGGCUGAUUACUAACGUAUUAUUGGAAUGCACAAGCUACUAAAACAAGGCGGUUGCACUCGAGGGACAGUGGGUGCACGUGUGGUGUUUACUUUUAUUGGAUGCAGUGGUUUGGUGUGAGGGUGUCACAUAUAGGUAAAUGCUGUGGUGAUGUAGUGGUUUGUUUUGAGUAUUAAGUUUUCACUCCACUUGUACCUCUGUGUACUGCCUGGGUUGAUUUAUUUUGUCUUUCUGAUUAUGUGUUUUUAUGUCUAUAAGGGACUUGUGAAAUAAAACUGCUCUGUAAAAGCGUUUAUACCUGAA